GACGAACGCUGGCGGCGUGCUUAACACAUGCAAGUCGAGCGGCAGCGGGUUCCCGCGAGGGGAUGCCGGCGAGCGGCGGACGGGUGAGGAACACAUCGGAAUCUGCCUGGUUGUGGGGGAUAACGUAGGGAAACUUACGCUAAUACCGCAUGCGACCCUGAGUCGACGGACUGGGGGUGAAAGUGAGGGACCUUCGGGCCUCACGCGACCAGAUGAGCCGAUGUCGGAUUAGCAGUUGGCGGGGUAACGGCCCGCCAAGGCGACGAUCCGUAGCUGGUCUGAGAGGAUGAUCAGCCACACUGGGACUGAGACACGGCCCAGACUCCUACGGGAGGCAGCAGUGGGGAAUCUUGGACAAUGGGCGCAAGCCUGAUCCAGCCAUGCCGCG
rnacentral:rRNA from 1 species